rnacentral:rRNA from 1 species
GACGAACGCUGGCGGCGUGCUUAACACAUGCAAGUCGAACGGAAAGGCCCUGCUUUUGUGGGGUGCUCGAGUGGCGAACGGGUGAGUAACACGUGAGUAACCUGCCCUUGACUUUGGGAUAACUUCAGGAAACUGGGGCUAAUACCGGAUAGGAGCUCCUGCUGCAUGGUGGGGGUUGGAAAGUUUCGGCGGGUGGGGAUGGACUCGCGGCUUAUCAGCUUGUUGGUGGGGUAGUGGCUUACCAAGGCUUUGACGGGUAGCCGGCCUGAGAGGGUGACCGGCCACAUUGGGACUGAGAUACGGCCCAGACUCCUACGGGAGGCAGCAGGGGGGAAUAUUGCACAAUGGGCGGAAGCCUGAUGCAGCAACGCCGCGUGCGGGAUGACGGCCUUCGGGUUGUAAACCGCUUUCGCCUGUGACGAAGCGUGAGUGACGGUAAUGGGUAAAGAAGCACCGGCUAACUACGUG